rnacentral:rRNA from 1 species
GCAUAUCAAUAAGCGGAGGAAAAGAAACCAACCGGGAUUGCCUUAGUAACGGCGAGUGAAGCGGCAAAAGCUCAAAUUUGAAAUCUGGUACCUUCGGUGCCCGAGUUGUAAUUUGGAGAGGGCAACUUUGGGGCCGUUCCUUGUCUAUGUUCCUUGGAACAGGACGUCAUAGAGGGUGAGAAUCCCGUGUGGCGAGGAGUGCGGUUCUUUGUAAAGUGCCUUCGAAGAGUCGAGUUGUUUGGGAAUGCAGCUCUAAGUGGGUGGUAAAUUCCAUCUAAAGCUAAAUAUUGGCGAGAGACCGAUAGCGAACAAGUACAGUGAUGGAAAGAUGAAAAGAACUUUGAAAAGAGAGUGAAAAAGUACGUGAAAUUGUUGAAAGGGAAGGGCAUUUGAUCAGACAUGGUGUUUUGUGCCCUCUGCUCCUUGUGGGUAGGGGAAUCUCGCAUUUCACUGGGCCAGCAUCAGUUUUGGUGGCAGGAUAAAUCCAUAGGAAUGUAGCUUGCCUCGGUAAGUAUUAUAGCCUGUGGGAAUACUGCCAGCUGGGACUGAGGACUGCGACGUAAGUCAAGAU